ensembl:lncRNA SNHG5 small nucleolar RNA host gene 5
GCUGCGCACUUCGGUCUUUUACGUCGGCCUUCGCGAGCGUCUGGGCGGGUGGUAGGUGAGUGGGUAUUGCGGGCUAGUAUCCGAGCAAAAGAUGGUGGCGCAGGCCGAGUUAAGAGCUUUAAUCCUGUGAAGACAUCUUAGUGAAGAGUUUAGAGUGCUGAGAGUUGAAAGCUUGCACGUGGGAAACGUGCGGCCGGACUGCCACAUGUACUGAGGUUGAGUCGUGACGGCCACAGGCUCCGAGUUUUGGCGUGAGGAACCGCUGAUCGGCCACGGGCGCCGAACUUGCUGGCCUCCGGCAUGUGCCUGAGCGGCGGCGGAAAAACCACCUUAAUUGGGGCGGAGGGUUAGUUUUAACAGCAAAGGGCCUUUACUAAAAUGGCGAAGGCCUUCCGUCGGCGUUGUUUUAAAAUGGGAAGCCUCGACCCUGUAUUGAAACUGAGCUGUUCGAAGGCGGCGUUGUGUGCAAUUCGGAUUAAUGAAGGGGAAGGGUUUUGUGUGGAAAAACGCCUUGGAGUGUGACAUUUCUGCGAGAAUGCUUAAAUACCGAUUUCCCGCAGGAACAAUGGCGCUGUCUUCAGUGGCACAGUGGAGCAGCUCUGAAGAUGCAAAGUGAGGGUCGCUGUCUGCCCAUUGAUAGAGGCCAGAUUGUCUUGGAAGUUCCAAAGUUGCAACGAUUUCUGGCUAGUGCCACGAGGUUUACUUGACUGUUGUGUGAAAAGCUGAUAAGAAAACCAUCCAGAAAAAAGCUCUUCGUUUUACAAACAUGAAAAUAAAACAUUUAGUUGAAUCCAUGGACAUGAAACCCACAGAUAUAGAGGGUUGGCCCGGUGCAGUGGCUCACGCCUGUAAUCCCAGCACUUUGGGAGGCCAAGGCGGGUGGAUCACCUGAGGUCAGAAGCUUGAGACCAGCCUGGCCAACAUGGUAAAACCCCAUCUCUACUAAUAAUACAAAACAAUUUGCUGGGCAUGGUGGUGCACGCUUGUAAUCCAAGCUACUCCAGAGGCUGAGGCAGAAGAAUCGCUUGAAUCCGAGAGGCAAAGGUUGCAGUGAGCCCAGAUCACACCACUGCUCUCCAACCUGGGCAACAAGAGCAAAACUCCGUCAAAAAAAAAAGAUACAGGGUCAACUGUACACAUUAAACACUUCUAUCAACUAGUGAUGUCAGUCUUGUCCAUUGUAUUAUUGCCUAUCUUACUAAACAGUCAUAUUUCAGGAAGUACAAUAUACUCAAAAACUAAGUUAAUGUUCUUUGUAGAUUUAUGGUUAAUGGAUGAUUCAUAUAAUAGAAACUUAAAUUUAUUUGACCAUUCUAUUUAAUAUAGAAUAAAUACAACUAGCCAGGCAUGGUGGCUCAUGUCUAUAAUGCCAGCACUUGGGGAGGCCAAGGUGGGAGGCUCACUUGAGCAUAGGAAUUCAAGGCCAGCCUGGGCAACACAAUGUGAGACCCGUCUCUAUGAAAAUUUUAAAAAUUAGCCAAGCAUGGUAACACAAGUCUGUGGUCCCAGCUACUUGGGAGGCUGAGGCGCGAGAAGUCCAGGAGGUCAACGCUGCAGUGAGCUGUGUGUGUGCCACUGCAUCCUAGCCUGGGCAACAGAGCAAGACCCUGUCUCAAAAAUAAAGAAUAAAUACAACCUAUUAAGCUUGAGAGAUCCAGUGAAAUCCAAAUAAGAGAAACUGUGUCCUACACAGUUUUCUGUUAACCAUUUUCUUGGUAUUUAAAUUAUUUAUCAAAUUUUAACUUCAAUAAAAAAUUAUUCUGGAGAACACAUACCUCUAGAGUAAGUAAAGUAUACACUUUCAAUUUUUAGACAUGAGGUUUUGAGGUGUUUGACUGUAUCUAAUUUCCUAAAGGCUCUAUUUUUUAACCUACAAAAAUUAUAAAAAGAUAUAUAAAAGAUAUGAAAUGUAAAAAUAAGGAAGAUAUGAAGAUUAAAAUAACCUAUAAUCCCACCACUCAGAGGUAAC